AGUGAAAAUUGUAUGAGCGGUUACGCACUCAUCUGAUCCGAGUCCGUGAAAAUACGUUCCGAAGUGGUCAUAGAACUAUUUGUAUGGUAGCUUAGGCACUAUAUCCGACUUCCAUCAUCCGAUUUCUCCUUGCCGUCCGUGAGAAUAUCUUGGAUGUGCCUUGGAUUCAAAGCGGACAUAUUAUGACGUAGAUAUUACAAAGAUGUCUACUGAAUAGCUUGGA